UUUUUUUUUUUUUUUUUUUUUUUUUGAGACAGAGUCUCGCUCUGUGGCUCAGGCUGGAGUGCAGUGGCAUGAUCUUGGCUCACUGCAACCCUUGCCUCCUGGGUUCAAGCAAUUCUUCCUGCCUCAGCCUCCCCAGUAGCUGGGAUUACAGGUGCCCGCCACCCCACCCGGCUAAUUCCUGCAUUUUUAGUAGAGACAGAAUUUCGCCAUGUUGGCCAGGCUGGUCUUGAACUCCUGACCUCAAGUGACCCAUCUGCCUCCGUCUCCCAAAGUGCUGGGAUUACAGGCAUCAGCCACCAUGCCCGACCUGGUUACUACUGUUAACCCUGGAGACAUUUGGCCUCCCUUUUCAUUUCCAGAGUUGAUGACACUGACUUCCAGUCACAACUCCUUUCUCACUGGGGUUCGGAAGGCAGGGAAGUAUUCUCAUGAGAUGGUGUAUUUCAGUAGAAAGCACAGGUCCUCAGGAAGCUGAGACAGGGACAUUGGACAGCCUCUGUGGCUUGCCGUGUUUCCUGUCAUGAUGCACACACAAACCUUGUGGGAAUGGUAGGACUGUACUGUGCCAUCGGUCCCAGUGCUGGCACCUAGGUCAAACAAGGUAUGGCCCCAUGGCAGAAGCCUCUACUCACUUCUGCAGGAGUGCCCAAGGUGGGCCCUGGCACCUGUUUGUAAGAGAAGCAGAAGCCCCAGCUGAUGAAGUUACAUAAAUGCUGACUCCUGGUAGCAAGCAUGCUCUGAGGGACUCCAGGACCUCCUCAUCAAACACUCUUGUGGUGGCCUCACAACACAAAAUUACAACCAAAGGCAGAUUAUGAUUAGCCAGAGAAGUCCUCUUGGGGAGGGAACUGUCUUUGAUAGAACACAUCUAUGGCUGCAUGGAAGGUUGGUAGAUGUGAUAUGUGGCUAGGCAGUAGGAAGGGCAAUGAGAGAGAGCAUUAAGCCACCCCAAGAAAGGGGAGUGUUUGGGUAGAGUUGAGACGAACUCAAAUUUUGGGGGACAGUGAGGGGGUUUGGGCUGACUUCUGGGUCAGAAAUGUCUGAAGCUGCAGCUAGGAAUGGGCGUGUAAGUGUGCGGGUGGCUCACGCCUGUAAUCACAGCAUUUUGCGAGGCCAUGGUGGGAAAAUCGCUUGAGCCCAAGAGUUUGAGACCAACCUGGACAGCAUAGGAAGACCCCAUCCCUACAAAAAAUACAAAAAUUAGCUGGGCAUGGUGGCCCGCACCUGUAGUCCCAGCUACUCGGGAGGCUGAGGUGGAAGAAUCACUUAUGCUCAGGAGCAAUCGCACCACUGCACUCCAGCCUGGGUGAGAGUGAGACCCAAAAAAAAAAAAAAAAAAAAAAGUGCUGGCACCGUGUCUCUGGCGCAUGUGCUGAGCCAUAAGCUGCACAAGCAUAAUGCCAACCCCAGGAUGAGGGGUCAAGUAAUUCUCCUGCCUCAGCCUCCUGAGUAGCUGGGAUUACAGGCACGCACCACCACACCCAGCUAAUUUUUGUAUUUUUAAUAGAGACAAGGUUUCUCCAUGUUGGCCAGGCUGGUCUCAAACUCCUGACCUUGGGUGAUCCACCCGCCUCGGCCUCUCAAAGUGCUGGGAUUACAGGUGUAAGCCACCGCACCCAGUGUAUCCAUCCACUGUUGAUGGCCUUUCAGUUGUUUCCAAUUUUUGUCUAUUGCAAAUACUGCUGCCAGACGCACUGUUGUACAUGUCUUCACGUUGCUCAUAUGCAUUAUUUUUGGAGGGUAUAUUCCCAAAUAAAGAGUGGAAUUUUAGGGUC
ensembl:lncRNA